AGUUUGAUCCUGGCUCAAGAUGAACGCUGGCGGCGUGCUUAACACAUGCAAGUCAAACGGGAAUUACUUUAUUGAAACUUCGGUCGAUUUAAUUUAAUUCUAGUGGCGGACGGGUGAGUAACGCAUGGGUAACCUGCCUUAUACAGGGGGAUAACAGUCAGAAAUGGCUGCUAAUACCGCAUAAGCGCACAGAGCUGCGUGGCUCGGUGUGAAAAACUCCGGUGGUAUAAGAUGGACCCGCGUGGGAUUAGCUUGUUGGUGGGGUAACGGCCCGCCAGGGACGACAAUACAUAGCCGGCCUGAGAGGGUGAACGGCCACAUUGAGACUGAGACACGGGCCAAACACCAACAGGAGGCAGCAGUGGGGAAUAUUGCACAAGGGGGGAAACCCUGAUGCAGCGACGCCGCGUGAAGGAAGAAGUAUCUCGGUAUGUAAGCUCUAUCAGCAGGGAAGAUAGUGACGGUACCUGACUAAGAAGCCCCGGCUAACUACGUGCCAGCAGCCGCGGUAAUACGUAGGGGGCAAGCGUUAUCCGGAUUUACUGGGUGUAAAGGGAGCGUAGACGGUGUGGCAAGUCUGAUGUGAAAGGCAUGGGCUCAACUUGUGGACUGCAUUGGAAACUGUCAUACUUGAGUGCCGGAGGGGUAAGCGGAAUUCCUAGUGUAGCGGUGAAAUGCGUAGAUAUUAGGAGGAACACCAGUGGCGAAGGCGGCUUACUGGACGGUAACUGACGUUGAGGCUCGAAAGCGUGGGGAGCAAACAGGAUUAGAUACCCUGGUAGUCCACGCCGUAAACGAUG
rnacentral:rRNA from 1 species